AGCUUUCUGAAUCCGUGGAGAGAUUUCGUUAGACUCAACCCGUCAGGGUAGAUGAGAUUCGAAAGAUACGUAAAGCU
rnacentral:pre_miRNA from 1 species